UACGAAGGGGGCUAGCGUUGCUCGGAAUCACUGGGCGUAAAGGGUGCGUAGGCGGGUUUUUAAGUCAGGGGGGAAAUCCUGGAGCUCAACUCCAGAACUGCCUUUGAUACUGAAGAUCUUGAGUUCGGGAGAGGUGAGUGGAACUGCGAGUGUAGAGGUGAAAUUCGUGGAUAUUCGCAAGAACACCAGUGGCGAAGGCGGCUCACUGGCCCGAUACUGACGCUGAGGCACGAAAGCGUGGGGAGCAAACAGG
rnacentral:rRNA from 1 species